rnacentral:rRNA from 1 species
GGGGGAGUAACACGGGGGAAAUUUGCUUAGGAUGGGGGAUAACAUUCGAAAACGGAUGGUAAUACCGCAUAUCUUUUUUGAACCGCAUGGUUUUUAAACGAAAGACGGCUUCGGCUGUCGCUCUUAGAUGAUCCCGCGGCGUAUUAGUUAGUUGGUGGGGUAAAGGCCUACCAAGACCAUGAUACGUAGCCGACCUGAGAGGGUGAUCGGCCACACUGGGACUGAGACACGGCCCAGACUCCUACGGGAGGCAGCAGUAGGGAAUCUUCCACAAUGGGUGAAAACCUGAUGGAGCAAUGCCGCGUGAAUGAAGAAGGUCUUCGGAUCGUAAAGUUCUGUUAUUAGAGAAGAACAAGUCAAGGAGUAACUGUCUUGACUUUGACGGUACCUAACCAGAAAGUCACGGCUAACUACGUGCCAGCAGCCGCGGUAAUACGUAGGUGACAAGCGUUGUCCGGAAUUAUUGGGCGUAAAGGGAGCGCAGGCGGUUGGAAUAGUCUGAUGUGAAAGCCCACGGCUUAACCGUGGAAGGUCAUUGGAAACUGUCCAACUUGAAUACAGAAGAGGUAAGUGGAAUUCCAAGUGUAGCGGUGAAAUGCGUAGAUAUUUGGAGGAACACCAGUGGCGAAGGCGACUUACUGGUCUGUAAUUGACGCUGAGGCUCGAAAGCGUGGGUAGCAAACAGGAUUAGAUACCCUGGUAGUCCACGCCGUAAACGAUGAGUGCUAAGUGUUAGGGGGUUUCCGCCCCUUAGUGCUGGAGUUAACGCA